rnacentral:rRNA from 1 species
GACGAACGCUGGCGGCGUGCUUAACACAUGCAAGUCGAGCGGUAAGGCUCCUUCGGGAGUACACGAGCGGCGAACGGGUGAGUAACACGUGAGCAAUCUGCCCUUCACUUUGGGAUAACUCCGGGAAACCGGUGCUAAUACCGAAUGCGACCACUUCAGGCAUCUGACGGUGGUGGAAAGUUCCGGCGGUGAAGGAUGAGCUCGCGGCCUAUCAGCUUGUUGGUGAGGUAAUGGCUCACCAAGGCUUCGACGGGUAGCCGGCCUGAGAGGGUGACCGGCCACACUGGGACUGAGACACGGCCCAGACUCCUACGGGAGGCAGCAGUGGGGAAUAUUGGACAAUGGGCGAAAGCCUGAUCCAGCAACGCCGCGUGAGGGAUGACGGCCUCGGUUGUAAACCGUCUUUCUAGCAGGGACGAAG